rnacentral:rRNA from 1 species
UGGCUCAGAUUGAACGCUGGCGGCAGGCCUAACACAUGCAAGUCGAACGGUAACAGGAAGAAGCUUGCUUCUUUGCUGACGAGCGGCGGACGGGUGAGUAAUGUCUGGGAAACUGCCUGAUGGAGGGGGAUAACUACUGGAAACGGUAGCUAAUACCGCAUAACGUCGCAAGACCAAAGAGGGGGACCUUCGGGCCUCUUGCCAUCAGAUGUGCCCAGAUGGGAUUAGCUAGUAGGUGGGGUAACGGCUCACCUAGGCGACGAUCCCUAGCUGGUCUGAGAGGAUGACCAGCCACACUGGAACUGAGACACGGUCCAGACUCCUACGGGAGGCAGCAGUGGGGAAUAUUGCACAAUGGGCGCAAGCCUGAUGCAGCCAUGCCGCGUGUAUGAAGAAGGCCUUCGGGUUGUAAAGUACUUUCAGCGGGGAGGAAGGUGUUGAGGUUAAUAACCUCAGCAAUUGACGUUACCCGCAGAAGAAGCACCGGCUAACUCCGUGCCAGCAGCCGCGGUAAUACGGAGGGUGCAAGCGUUAAUCGGAAUUACUGGGCGUAAAGCGCACGCAGGCGGUCUGUCAAGUCGGAUGUGAAAUCCCCGGGCUCAACCUGGGAACUGCAUUCGAAACUGGCAGGCUAGAGUCUUGUAGAGGGGGGUAGAAUUCCAGGUGUAGCGGUGAAAUGCGUAGAGAUCUGGAGGAAUACCGGUGGCGAAGGCGGCCCCCUGGACAAAGACUGACGCUCAGGUGCGAAAGCGUGGGGAGCAAACAGGAUUAGAUACCCUGGUAGUCCACGCCGUAAACGAUGUCGACUUGGAGGUUGUGCCCUUGAGGCGUGGCUUCCGGAGCUAACGCGUUAAGUCGACCGCCUGGGGAGUACGGCCGCAAGGUUAAAACUCAAAUGAAUUGACGGGGGCCCGCACAAGCGGUGGAGCAUGUGGUUUAAUUCGAUGCAACGCGAAGAACCUUACCUACUCUUGACAUCCAGAGAACUUUCCAGAGAUGGAUUGGUGCCUUCGGGAACUCUGAGACAGGUGCUGCAUGGCUGUCGUCAGCUCGUGUUGUGAAAUGUUGGGUUAAGUCCCGCAACGAGCGCAACCCUUAUCCUUUGUUGCCAGCGGUUAGGCCGGGAACUCAAAGGAGACUGCCAGUGAUAAACUGGAGGAAGGUGGGGAUGACGUCAAGUCAUCAUGGCCCUUACGAGUAGGGCUACACACGUGCUACAAUGGCGCAUACAAAGAGAAGCGACCUCGCGAGAGCAAGCGGACCUCAUAAAGUGCGUCGUAGUCCGGAUUGGAGUCUGCAACUCGACUCCAUGAAGUCGGAAUCGCUAGUAAUCGUAGAUCAGAAUGCUACGGUGAAUACGUUCCCGGGCCUUGUACACACCGCCCGUCACACCAUGGGAGUGGGUUGCAAAAGAAGUAGGUAGCUUAACCUUCGGGAGGGCGCUUACCACUUUGUGAUUCAUGACUGGGGUGAAGUCGUAACAAGGUUCU